UAAGUGCUAUAUUGUUUGUGUGU
rnacentral:miRNA from 1 species